GCGGUGGAGCAUGUGGUUUAAUUCGACGCAACGCGCAGAACCUUACCAGGGUUUGACAUCCUGCGACCGCUGGAGAGAUCCAGUUUUCCCGCAAGGGACGCCGAGACAGGUCCUGCAUGGUUGUCGCCAGCUCGUGUCGUGAGAUGUUGGGUUAAGUCCCGCAACGAGCGCAACCCUCGCCUUUAGUUGCCAUCAUUAAGUUGGGCACUCUAGAGGGACCGCCGGCGGCAAGCCGGAGGAAGGUGGGGAUGACGUCAAGUCCUCAUGGCCCUUACACCCUGGGCUAUACACGUGCUACAAUGGCGGUGACAGUGGGCAGCUACUUCGCGAGAAGCGGCUAAUCCCAAAAAACCGUCCCAGUUCAGAUUGUACUCUGCAACUCGAGUGCAUGAAGGUGGAAUCGCUAGUAAUCGCAGAACAGCAGGCUGCGGUGAAUACGUUCCCGGGCCUUGUACACACCGCCCGUCACGGCAUGGGAGUUGGUUUUACCCGAAGACGGUGCGCUAACCGCAAGGAGGCAGCCGGCCACGGUAGGAUCAGCGACUGGGCCGAAGUCGUAACAAGGUAGCCGUAGGGGAACCUGCGGCUGGAUCACCUCCUUU
rnacentral:rRNA from 1 species